rnacentral:rRNA from 1 species
GCUGGCGGCAGGCUUAACACAUGCAAGUCGAGCGGGCGUAGCAAUACGUCAGCGGCAGACGGGUGAGUAACGCGUGGGAACAUACCUUUUGGUUCGGAACAACACAGGGAAACUUGUGCUAAUACCGGAUAAGCCCUUACGGGGAAAGAUUUAUCGCCGAAAGAUUGGCCCGCGUCUGAUUAGCUAGUUGGUGAGGUAACGGCUCACCAAGGCGACGAUCAGUAGCUGGUCUGAGAGGAUGAUCAGCCACAUUGGGACUGAGACACGGCCCAAACUCCUACAGGAGGCGGCAGUGGGGAAUAUUGGACAAUGGGCGCAAGCCUGAUCCAGCCAUGCCGCGUGAGUGAUGAAGGCCCUAGGGUUGUAAAGCUCUUUUGUGCGGGAAGAUAAUGACGGUACCGCAAGAAUAAGCCCCGGCUAACUUCGUGCCAGCAGCCGCGGUAAUACGAAGGGGGCUAGCGUUGCUCGGAAUCACUGGGCGUAAAGGGUGCGUAGGCGGGUCUUUAAGUCAGGGGUGAAAUCCUGGAGCUCAACUCCAGAACUGCCUUUGAUACUGAGGAUCUUGAGUUCGGGA